UUCCAAAUAUUUUCUCUUUACAUGUAUACACAUUAAUGUCAUGUCUGUCUUCACAUACAAAAUUCCAUAAAAGUUGACAGAACUACUUUUACUUUUUACAUUUGAGUAUUACAUUAAGAGUCAAAA